rnacentral:rRNA from 1 species
CACGUACUGCGCGAGCGUUAUUCGGAAUCACUGGGCGUAAAGGGUGCGUAGGCGGCCAAGUCAGCCCGAUGUGAAAUCCCACCGCUUAACGGUGGAACGGCAUUGGGAACUGCUUGGCUUGAGUGAUCUAGGGGUGAGCGGAACUUCCGGUGGAGCGGUGAAAUGUGUUGAGAUCGGAAGGAACACCAAGAGCGAAGGCAGCUCACUGGGGAUUAACUGACGCUGAGGCACGAAAGCCAGGGGAGCGAACGGG